UACGGGGGGGGCAAGCGUUAUUCGGAAUUACUGGGCGUAAAGCGCACGUAGGCGGAUGUGUCAGUCAGGGGUGAAAUCCCGGGGCUCAACCUCGGAACUGCCUUUGAUACAGCACGUCUCGAGUCCGGAAGAGGUGGGUGGAAUUCCUAGUGUAGAGGUGAAAUUCGUAGAUAUUAGGAAGAACACCGGUGGCGAAGGCGGCCCACUGGUCCGGUACUGACGCUGAGGUGCGAAAUCGUGGGGAGCAAACAGG
rnacentral:rRNA from 1 species